GGGCGGUUAGCUCAGUGGUUAGAGCACUACCCUUACAAGGUAGGGGCCGCAGGUUCAAGUCCUGCACCGCCCA
rnacentral:tRNA from 1 species